CAUCCCCCAACCCCGCCCUAGGCAGGAAAGACCUGAACCCUCCCUAGACCUGGGGGCAGUCAGGGAGCUAGGACCAGGAGACCCAGGAGGAUACACAUCUCCAGGUUCAUCCAGUCCUUACUGAGCACCUUCUGGGGCCAGGCCCUGUGCUGGGCACUGGGGAGUUAGUUCUGAGAUGGAGGACAAAGAUCCUUGCCAGGGAGUUGACAGUUGAUGGGAGCCUUCAAAGCCAGAAUCCUCUGGAAUCUGCUGAGAAGAGAGGUCUUCCAGAGGCCUGAUCCUGAGCUGUGGGGAAUGUCCAACCCAGAUGCAUGGCCAGAAGAGCCUCCGUGAGGAUUUGCACCUGUCCGGACUCCUGCCUGGUGCCGCCGAGGAGAACCCCUGUAAAGAAGCUGGAGAAUGUGCCGUGUUGUUCUGUCCCGUGGAGCAGUUUACGUGCAGAAAGUGAUGAAUCCUGGAGGAUAUGGGGAUUCUGUGCCCAAAGGCUUCAGGGGAUAGGUGCACGUCUUGGUCCUCAGGCCAACCAUCAGGGGGCGCUCUGUCGUGCAGAAGUGCUGCUCUUUCUUAUGAAGAAUUUGGCCUCAUUUUAAGCAUAAACUCUUGAUUUUAAGAAGAUCUGUGACGUGAUGAACACUGAUAUUAUACACAACUGAUGAAUUAU